rnacentral:siRNA from 1 species
GUUAGACUUUGCCAUUCAUCCCA